rnacentral:rRNA from 1 species
GAUGAACGCUGGCGGCGUGCCUAAUACAUGCAAGUAGAACGCUGAAGGAAGGAGCUUGCUCUUUCCGGAUGAGUUGCGAACGGGUGAGUAACGCGUAGGUAACCUGCCUGGUAGCGGGGGAUAACUAUUGGAAACGAUAGCUAAUACCGCAUAACAGUAGAUAUUGCAUGAUAUCUGCUUGAAAGGUGCAAUUGCAUCACUACCAGAUGGACCUGCGUUGUAUUAGCUAGUUGGUGAGGUAACGGCUCACCAAGGCGACGAUACAUAGCCGACCUGAGAGGGUGAUCGGCCACACUGGGACUGAGACACGGCCCAGACUCCUACGGGAGGCAGCAGUAGGGAAUCUUCGGCAAUGGACGGAAGUCUGACCGAGCAACGCCGCGUGAGUGAAGAAGGUUUUCGGAUCGUAAAGCU